rnacentral:rRNA from 1 species
AACGAACGCUGGCGGCAGGCUUAACACAUGCAAGUCGAACGCGUGCAGCAAUGCACGAGUGGCGCACGGGUGAGUAACGCGUGGAUAUCUGCCUUUUGGUUCGGAAUAACCCCGGGAAACUGGAGCUAAUACCGGAUGGUUCCUACGGGAUAAAGAUUUAUCGCCAAAAGAUGAGUACGCGUCCGAUUAGCUAGUUGGAGAGGUAAUGGCUCACCAAGGCGACGAUCGGUAGCUGGCCUGAGAGGACGUUCAGCCACACUGGGACUGAGACACAGCCCAGACUCCUACGGGAGGCAGCAGUGGGGAAUAUUGGACAAUGGGGGCAAUCCUGAUCCAGCCAUGCCGCGUGAGUGAUGAAGGCCUUCGGGUUGUAAAGCGCUUUUGGCGGGGACGAUGAUGACGGUACCCGCAGAAUAAGCCCCGGCUAACUUCGUG